rnacentral:rRNA from 1 species
UACGAAGGGGGCUAGCGUUGCUCGGAAUUACUGGGCGUAAAGGGCGCGUAGGCGGACAUUUAAGUCAGAGGUGAAAGCCCAGGGCUCAACCUUGGAAUUGCCUUUGAUACUGGAUGUCUUGAGUUCGGGAGAGGUGAGUGGAAUGCCGAGUGUAGAGGUGAAAUUCGUAGAUAGUCGGGAGGAACACCAGUGGCGAAGGGCCGGACUCUCGUGGGCAAUGACGUGACGCUGAGACGCGAAAGCGUGGGUAGCAAACAGG